UACGUAGGGGGCUAGCGUUGUCCGGAAUCAUUGGGCGUAAAGCGCGUGUAGGCGGUCCGGUAAGUCCGCUGUGAAAGUCGGGGGCUCAACCCUCGGAUGCCGGUGGAUACUGUCGGGCUUGAGUACGGAAGAGGCGAGUGGAAUUCCUGGUGUAGCGGUGAAAUGCGCAGAUAUCAGGAGGAACACCGGUGGCGAAGGCGGAUCUCUGGGCCUUGCCUGACGCUGAGGCGCGAAAGCUAGGGGAGCGAACAGG
rnacentral:rRNA from 1 species